GCCAGUAUGGAGGAUAUGACCCUCGGCUUGUAACCGAGUGGGUUCGGGUUCGAAUCCCGAGUAAGGCA
rnacentral:tRNA from 1 species